UACGUAGGGGGCUAGCGUUGUCCGGAAUCAUUGGGCGUAAAGCGCGUGUAGGCGGUCCGGUAAGUCCGCUGUGAAAGUCGAGGGCUCAACCCUCGAAUGCCGGUGGAUACUGUCGGGCUUGAGUACGGGAGAGGCGAGUGGAAUUCCUGGUGUAGCGGUGAAAUGCGCAGAUAUCGGGAAGAACACCCGUGGCGAAGGCGGCUCUCUGGAACGCAACUGACGCUGAGACGCGAAAGCGUGGGGAGCAAACAGG
rnacentral:rRNA from 1 species